ACCUGGAUAGCUCAGUUGGUUAGAAUAUGGUAUUUAUAAUGCGAAGGUUGCAGGUUCGAUCCCCAUACGGGACA